UACGGGGGGGGCAAGCGUUGUUCGGAAUUACUGGGCGUAAAGGGCGCGUAGGCGGCCUUCUAAGUCGGACGUGAAAUCCCUCGGCUUAACCGAGGAACUGCGUCCGAUACUGAAAGGCUUGAAUCCGGGAGAGGGAUGUGGAAUUCCAGGUGUAGCGGUGAAAUUCGUAGAUAUUCGGCGGAACACCAGUGGCGAAGGCGACUCACUGGCCCGAUACUGACGCUGAGGCGCGAAAGCGUGGGGAGCAAACAGG
rnacentral:rRNA from 1 species